AUUGAACGCUGGCGGCAUGCUUUACACAUGCAAGUCGAACGGCAGCACGGGGGCAACCCUGGUGGCGAGUGGCGAACGGGUGAGUAAUGCAUCGGAACGUACCGUGUAAUGGGGGAUAACGUAGCGAAAGUUACGCUAAUACCGCAUACGCCCUGAGGGGGAAAGCGGGGAUCGUAAGACCUCGCGUUAUACGAGCGGCCGAUGUCGGAUUAGCUAGUUGGUGGGGUAAAGGCCCACCAAGGCUUCGAUGCCUACCGGGCGUGCGAGCGUGGCCCGGCACACUGGGACUGAGACACUGCCCAGACUCCUACGGGAGGCUGCAGUCGAGAAUCUUCGGCAAUGGGCGCAAGCCUGACCGAGCGACGCCGCGUGGAGGAUGAAGGCCUUCGGUUGUAACUACCUGUCGAGGGGAGGAAGGCGCAAGCUUGACCGAUCCCUCGGAGGAAGCACGGGCGUAAGUUCGUGCCAGCAGCCG
rnacentral:rRNA from 1 species